rnacentral:rRNA from 1 species
GGAAUGAGUAGCGAGAAUUAUGUGGGAAUCAUAAUGGCCGAAAAUCUAAGGUUUCCUGGGGAAGGUUCGUCCGCCCAGGGUAAGCCGGGAGCUAAGGCGAGGCCGAAAGGCGUAGUCGAUGCACAUACGGUUGAAAUUCCGUAGCCACCGAACCUUAAGUACACUGACACAUGGAGAUAGCGGGACCCGGGCGUUGGUUGACCCGGGCGUAAGGGACCGAACUUUAGUAGGGAAGUCCGCGAUGCUCUGUGGCGAGAAAAGGUGUAUGGUAUGCUAAGGUGCCCGUACCGCAAACCGACACAGGUAGAUGAGGAGAGAAUCCUAAGGCCAACGGGAGAAGGGUUGUUAAGGAACUCGGCAAAAUGACCCCGUAACUUCGGGAUAAGGGGAGCCUCCUACGGGAGGCCGCAGCGAAUAGGCCCAAGCGACUGUUUACCAAAAACACAGGUCUCUGCUAAAUCGAAAGAUGACGUAUAGGGGCUGACGCCUGCCCGGUGCUGGAAGGUUAAGAGGAGAUGUUAGCCGCAAGGCGAAGCAUUGAAUCGAAGCCCCAGUAAACGGCGGCCGUAACUAUAACGGUCCUAAGGUAGCGAAAUUCCUUGUCAGGUAAGUUCUGACCCGCACGAAUGGCGUAACGACUUGGGCGCUGUCUCAACAGCCCACCCGGCGAAAUUGUUGUACUGGUGAAGAAGCCAGUUACCCGCAACUAGACGGAAAGACCCCAUGGAGCUUUACUGUAGCUUAAUACUGGAAAUCGGUAAAUCAUGUACAGGAUAGGUGGGAGACUUGGAAGCCAGGGCGUCAGCUUUGGUGGAGUCACCCUUGGGAUACCACCCUUGAUUUGCUGGUUUUCUAACCUGCGGCCGUGAAUCCGGUCGGGGGACACUGUUAGGUGGGCAGUUUGACUGGGGCGGUCGCCUCCUAAAAGGUAACGGAGGCGCUCAAAGGUUCGUUCAGCACGGACGGAAAUCGUGCAGUGAGUGUAAACGCAUAAACGAGCCUAACUGCGAGACCGACGGGUCGAGCAGUAACGAAAGUUGGAGUUAGUGAUCCGGCGGUAUGUGAGUGGAAAUGCCGUCGCUCAACGGAUAAAAGCUACCCUGGGGAUAACAGGCUGAUCU